AUUAUUGAGAGUUUGAUCCUGGCUCAGGAUGAACGCUGGCGGCGUGGAUAAGGCAUGCAAGUCGCGCGGACACGAUUUGAGAUUACAUCAAUAAUUGCGUUAGCGGCAAACGGGGUAGUAAUAGGCAGGUAGAUUCCUCUAAGACGGGUAUAAUUCGCCGAAAGGCGGACUAAUUCCCGAUAGUUCCCGCAAGGGUAAACGGAGCAAUCCGCUUGGAGAUUCGCCUGCUCGCUAUCAGCUAGUUGGCAGGGUAACGGCCUACCAAGGCGAUGACGGCUAGGGGGAGUGAGAGCUUGUUCCCCACCAGGGACACUGCGACACGGGUCCCACACCUACGGGUGGCAGCAGCCGAGAAUAUUGGACAAUGGGCGAAAGCCUGAUCCAGCGACGCCGCGUGGAGGAUGAAAUCCCUCGGGAUGUAAACUCCUUUUCUCCGGGAUAAAGUCUGGUCCGCAAGGGCCGGAUUGAUAGUACUGGAGGAAUAAGGGCCUGCUAACCUCGUGCCAGCAGCAGCGGUAAUACGAGGGGCCCGAGCGUUAUCCGGAAUCACUGGGCGUAAAGCGCUGUUAGGAGGUUUUGUUAGUCUUGUUUUAAAUCCUUCCGCUCAACGGAGGGGCUGGACAGGAUACGGCAAAACUUUGAGGACGCGAGAGGUUGAUGGAACUCUAGGUGUAGGGGUGAAAUCCAUUGAUAUCUAGGGGAACGCCGAAAGCGAAAGCAAUCAACUGGCGCGCUUCCAGACUCUGACCAGCGAAAGCGUGGGCAUAAAAAAGGAUUGGUUUAGAUACCCAUUAGGGUAUAAUAAAACAACUAGUCCCUUAGUGAAUAAAUUCACUAAGCAAACUUGGCUAUAUCGGUAAAAACCCUUUUAUUUAAAGGACGAUACCGAGGGAAGUCUACAAAAAUUUAAAAAUCAAAAAUAAAAAAUUAAAAUGAUAAAUUAAAAUUUAAAAUUAUUGCGAAAGCGAUACUAAAAUUUUACAUUUUAAUAUUUGAUUUUUAAUUUUAUAUGACCCCGUAGAGACUAUACGCCGAGAUACCAUUUAUUGGUAUAUGAUAUAGUCCGAUCUUCAUAGUAAUGUGAAGAGUUAGACAGAAAUGUUCUAACCAUUAUUGAGAACAAUAAUAAGCAACAAAAUGUAGAUACCCUUGUAUUCCACGCCCUAAACGAUGCAGACUAGCUAUUUGAAGUAUCGACCCUUCGAGUGGCGAAGCUAACGCGUUAAGUCUGCCGCCUGGGAAGUACGGCCGCAAGGCUAAAACUCAAAGGAAUAGACGGGGACUCGCACAAGCGGUGGAACAUGCGGUUUAAUUCGAUGACGAACGAAGAACCUUACCAGGACUUGAAAUGCCGGUGAAGUCCGCUGAAAGGCGGAUGUCUCACAAGGACGCCGGCACAGGUGCUGCAUGGUUGAUUUUAUCGACUCUCUGCCAGAGGCAGAGUGGCACCCUCUGAUCCGCCAGUUGGUGGACGGAGAAAUCGGCUCAUAACGGUGGAACCCUAAUACAUUUAUGUUAAAAUUUAUGUAUGGGUAAUACCGUGGGAAGUAUAAAUACUGAUUUUUGGAAUCUUAAAACAAAAGACGACGCUUACAUUGUAGGAUUAUGGUGCGCUGAUGGUUAUCAUCGGACAAGCAGUAUUGGGAUUAGCAAUACCAAAGUUGAUUUAAUAAAAAAAUUUGAAGAAUUUUUCUUGAAAUUUUUGCCAACAGAAAGGUUAAAAUUGCGAAUUUAUCUCCCAGAUAAAUUUAAAAGGCGCACAAAAGCAUAUCAUCUCUAUGUAAAUAGCCGUCCAUUGUUAAGAAAGUUUAGGGAGUUCAAAAAUAAUAUACUGAAAUUCAUCAGCAAAGAUAUGAUUUUUCCUUAUAUGGCUGGAAGAUUUGACGGAGACGGUUCAGUCGCGAAGGACUUUUAUCGCGACUGCCGCAUUGUUUAUAGCAAUUUAAAGGAAGCGCAAAAAGAUUUAAUGUUAAUGAAUUCGCUAGGUUUUAAGAAAAUGAAAAUCUACAAUUAUCGGAGCGCAAAAACUUUUUGUCUGUAUUUUUCUAGAUUAGAAACACAUAAAUUUCUUUCUUUAAUUUAUCCAUAUUCAUUAAGAUUACAAAAAUCAGUAUUUGUACCCCGUAGAGACUUGAUCUAAAUAUUUUUAGAUCAGACCGAGCACAUAAUUUAUUUUAUGCGCUUGGUAAAAUGCCGACCCGAGCACAUAAAUAAUUUAUGUGUUUCGGUGAAGGUAUAGUCCAUACCGUUAGUAAUAACGGACAGAAUCUUAGUCAAUUGUCAUUAGUUAAAGUUAAAUGUCAAUUGUCAGAUUAUAUAUGGUCGUCAGCUCGUGGUUUGAAUUGUUCCCUUCAGUGGGGAAACGAGCGCAACCCCCGUGCUGUGUUAUAUUUGUCACAGCAGACCGCCCAGCAUUAUUUUCCGGAGCAUCGGUUCGGGAAAAUAGUGCUGGGAGGAAGGAGGGGAUGACGCCAAAUCCGCAUGGCCCUCUGAUGUCCUGGGCUACACGCAUGUUACAAUGGCCGGCACAAUGGGGCGCUAAGCCGCGAGGCGGAGCAAAUCCCAUCAAAACCGGUCCCAGUUCGGAUUGGAGUCUGCAACUUGACUCCAUGAAGUUGGAAUCGCUAGUAAUCGCGGAUCAGAACGCCGCGGUGAAUACGUUCUCGAGUCUUGUACUCAAAAUUAAAUGCGCUGGGCAGUAUUAUUCGCGAAGAGGUUUAAAUCCUCU
rnacentral:rRNA from 1 species